rnacentral:rRNA from 1 species
AGUGAACGCUGGCGGCGUGCCUAAUACAUGCAAGUCGAACGGAGUGGCGCACGGGUGAGAAAUAUAUAGCUAAUCUGCCCUUUGCUGGAGGACAACAGAUAGAAAUGACUGCUAAUACUCCAUAGCAAGGGAUGGGACUAUAUCGUAUCAGCUAGUCGGGGGGGUAACGGCCUACCGCGGCUAUGACGCGUAACUGGUCUGAGAGGAUGAUCAGUCACAUUGGAACUGAGACACGGUCCAAGCUCCUACGGGAGGCAGCAGUAGGGAGUAUUGCGCAAUGGGGGAAUCCCUGACGCAGCAACGGCGCGUGGAGGAUGACACGUUUCGGGGCAUAAACUCCUUUUGUUAGUGAAGCGGUACCUAACGAAUAAGCACCGGCUAACUCCGUGCCAGCAGCCGCGGUAAUUC